rnacentral:lncRNA from 1 species
GCCGCUCGGCGUGUGCGCGGGGGUGCGCGGCUGCCGCAGCGUGCGCGCGUGUGCCAGGGGCCCUGCGGCUGUCACUACGCUGAUGGCCACCGGCUGCGCAGGCCUCAGGAUCGCCGGCUUGGGGCUGAAGACGUCCUGCCCUGUGUCAGACCUCUGAGGUCAAGCAGAGGCCCUGUGAACAGUGGGCGCUGUGCGAUGGAGUGGCCCUGGCUCUGAGCCGCUGGAGGCCUGAAAAGAGCGAGGCAAAAGGACUGGCAGCUCCGGGCUUUGGGAUGAAGUCAGGUGGACAGAGAGGCACCCAGGAGACCAUCCCCAGCCAGACUUCCAUAGGAGCAGAAGCUUAUCUUCAGAUAAAUUCUCAGGUGAAUCCCUGAUGCAUACGGCAGAUACAAGGGCCAGUUUGUUGUCAUAAAUCAUAAUCAUAUGUAUGACUCUUACUUCUAAUAAAGUACACAAGUGUUUUCCACCAGCUGCAACAGUCUGCCACGUGGUAGGCAUUCAAUAAAGAGGUACUGGAUGAGCAGGCAGUCAGUUGUGGGAAAGGCUAUUUUGAUGAACACAAAUCCAAGAAAUGGGAUUGUGUAUGACAGCCUGAAAUUCUAAGCCUAUAUAUUUGUACGGGGCUGUGUGGAGAACAGUUUGAAAAU